GGGGCGUCGGGGCCGGCGGCGCCCCGCGUGGUUACGCCGUUUCUUCCGUGUCCCUCAGUGACGGCAUCUUGUGCGAGUUUUCCUCAGUUCUGUGGCCCGUGGCUUAUGCGGUCAGCUCCUUGGAAUGGUGACGUCCUGGGGAGUGCUGUUACUGGCCUCUGCCAUUUUGGGAUUCUAUCAUUAACACUGAAAUCAGGGAGCCCAUUUCAACAGUGGCAUCUUCCACCAUCAUCUUACACAUGCAGACACAGAAAGUACAGAGCUUUUCAAGAAUAAUGCUGCUCCUCUUGAACCAAUGGAUUUCUUUAUCUCUGAGAUGUGAAAACUGAAGCUCAGAGGUUGGGUAAGUUGGCCACGAUCCUACAACUCUAUAAGAACUCUCACCUGCCCAUAUUGGCUUCCAUGAGAUGUGACAGGGGAAGAUACUCUAAAAUUAAUGGAGACUAACUCUGUGAGUCUGGCUUCCCUGUCAGAAUCUUCUUCUAUCUCAGCUGAAUCUGCCAGGCGAAGUUCCGUCCGAUGUCUCUGACAUUGGGCUCAUGGAGAGUCCCAACCUCCACAUCAACCGGAGACGGAGUAGGAGUGACUGAAGAUGGCAGGCUCUGGGCCAGGAGCAGCAGGACUUCGCGGAGGGCCUGAGAAGGGGGUAGGGAGAGGGGGAGGGGGCGGGGGUCUACCACGCCCCCGCCCUUCCGUCCACUCCCAUUGGCCGAACGUUUGCUGGCCCUAUCCCACUGCCCACCCCCAGGAUGACGCUUAAAGUGCGGAGCAGGUGCCUCUUGUGGAGCAACAACUUUCCGCUGGUGUCCUGGC